rnacentral:rRNA from 1 species
GACGAACGCUCGCGGCGUGCUUAACACAUGCAAGUUGAACGGAAAGGCCUCUUUCGGGGGGUACUCGAGUGGCGAACGGGUGAGUAACACGUGAGUAACCUGCCCUUGACUUUGGGAUAACUUCAGGAAACUGGGGCUAAUACCGGAUAGGAGCUCCUGCUGCCUGGUGGGGGUUGGAAAGUUUCGGCUGUUGGGGAUGGACUCGCGGCUUAUCAGCUUGUUGGUGGGGUAGUGGCUUACCAAGGCUUUGACGGGUAGCCGGCCUGAGAGGGUGACCGGCCACAUUGGGACUGAGAUACGGCCCAGACUCCUACGGGAGGCAGCAGUGGGGAAUAUUGCACAAUGGGUGGAAGCCUGAUGCAGCAACGCCGUGUGCGGGAAGACGGCCUUCGGGUUGUAAACCGCUUUCGCUCAUGACGAAGCUUUGUGUGACGGUAGUGGGUAAAGAGGCACCGGCUAGCUACGUG